GCCUGCUUCUGUCAGAAGUGAAAGCUGCCUUUCAAGUUCAUUAAGUGAGGCAGAGGAUGGGGCAGAGGUUGGGGAGAGAUAGGAUCGUGUAGCUGCACGGCAUGUUUUUCGUUUAACCUAAGGUGGUUCUCAACAUGAUGAAAUAGUUGCACCCUUGUUUGGAAUAAGUGGAUAAUAGCAGCUACGCGUAUCAGACACCUACUAUGUGCCGGAAACCGAGCCAGGAAUAUGACUUACGCUGCCCUCCCAUCUCGCCACAGCUCUACGAAGUACAUUUCUUAUCAGUUUCACAAGCAAGGGAAGUGCGGCUCUGAGGGUCACGGCGCAGCCAGUGAGGGACGGAAAAGAGGGACCCCAAACCAAGUACUGUCUGAUUCUCCCCGGGACCCCACCGAGUCCCUCACGGACGAACUUGGCUAUUAUACAGACGCUGCCCAUACCCACCCUGACUUGAAGCUUUGUACCACUCACAUCUGUGGCUGUCUGCCCCGGGCUUUCCUCCACCCACAAGGACGGGCUUGUCAAGUGCUAGGGUCGGGGGCGCCUCCGGUGUGCUAAAACCAGGAUGUCUGUGGACAACAGGGACCUCAUCACCAGCUCCCACGCAGAUGGCAACGGCUCUCGUCAAGCUUUGGUCUGGAUCCACGUUUGGUGAAAUAAAAGCCAUGAGCAAUUUUUCUUUGGCCAGACAUACACCACUUGGGCCUGCUCUCGAGGGCCGCUCCUUGGCCCGCCUCCCCAGACUUAGGGGAAAGCAGUUGGAAACAUUCCUUACCCAGAAAUAAUAACGGGAACUAUUCGUACCCGAAAGCUUCCCCCACUAAAAUCCCG